AUUGAACGCUGGCGGCAGGCUUAACACAUGCAAGUCGAGCGAGCGGCGGACGGGUGAGUAAUGUCUGGGAAACUGCCUGAUGGAGGGGGAUAACUACUGGAAACGGUAGCUAAUACCGCAUACCAUCAGAUGUGCCCAGAUGGGAUUAGCUAGUAGGUGGGGUAAUGGCUCACCUAGGCGACGAUCCCUAGCUGGUCUGAGAGGAUGACCAGCCACACGGGAACUGAGAAACGGUCCAGACUCGUCCGGGAGUCAGCAGGGGGGAAGAUUGCUCAAUGGGCGAAAGCCUGAUGCCGCGAAGCCGCGUGGGGGAAGAAGGACUUCGGUUUGUAAAGCAUUUUCAGCGAGGAGGCGUUACUCGCAGAAGAAGCACCGGCUAACUCCGUGCCAGCAGCCGCGGUAAUUC
rnacentral:rRNA from 1 species